GCCAGGUGUGGUGGCACAUGCCUGUAAUCCCAGCAGCUCAGGAGGCUGAGGCAGGAGGAUUGAGAGUUCAAAGCCAGCCUCAGCAAUUCAGUGAGGCCCUAAGCCACUCAGCAAGACCCUGUCUCCA
rnacentral:sRNA from 1 species